UUAGACCAGAAAAGCUGGGGCGGUCUGUACGCAGUGCUGGCUGGCCAGGCAAACUUGAUACUUCCUCAGGAAGACUUCACAAAGGAGCUCCAGGCUUCAUAUGGUGAAACUUUCUCUGGGAAAGAAAGCAGCUCAGAGUCCCACACAGAAAAUUCUUCAGCUGGAAGGAUGUCAGAAAGAUGGAUUUCCAAAGCCAACCAUUUCCUGUACCAUGUGGAUCUCUUCAAGCAGAGCCUCAUCUUUCAAUUUCAGCUACAUGAGAGAGGAAGGAAGAGAAGAACAUGUCAUACUUGAUAUACCUAUGUGGCUUUGAAGAUCCCUCAUUUGUGGGGCCACAGCUAAAGAACAUAGUUCCUUGGAAUGGAAUUGGUUCUUCCUAUAUUCCCUAUUUCAUGAAAACUCCAUUAAAAGACCUUAGAACAUUGUGCUGGUUAAAUGGAUAUGUUUCCUUUGUGAGAAUUCAUCAAGCAAUGUGAACACUCGUGAUUUAUACAUUUUUUUGGUAAAAUAACUUUAUUAAAGUUUAUUUUUUUUAUUUUU